rnacentral:tRNA from 1 species
CCCCCCGUGGUGUAGUGGUUACACAUCAGAGAAUGAAGGUCGCUGGUUCGAAUCCGGCCGGGGGCA